ACGAGCUGUUGGCGGCCACGGACCUCAAGCAGGCGGUCGACGAUUCUGCCGAGACGUCGGGUCUGCAACUGUUCAUAUCCCGGGACGGCACGGCGGAGCUGGGGUCCCGGCAGCGGCAGCAGCUGGCCCGGAGGGACUACCAGAGGGUGGUGCUACAUCCACACGACAACAGGUAGCCAACGGCGUCUAAAGCAGUCGCCCCGGCGACUCGAGUCAGCGCUGUGAGCCGCCUGAGACGGCAGGGUCCUAUGUAGAAUGUACUAUUUAUUUCGAGACGAGCGGACAGUAUUACCAGAGAUUUGUAAGUGUCUCGUGCUAGGUUCACAUGCACUUAGUAACUAGCUAGGUAGUAAAUUUUAGUUGGCCAAGAAAUUUGUAAUCAUUUAGUUGUUUUUUAUUUUAUUUAAUGUGGGUUAUGCACUUUUUUUUAACAGAUGCUUCGGAUGUUAUCGAUAAAACUUAUUGCCUAUAGAAAUUGGAUUAAGUUUUUAUAUCGCCGGUAACACUUUGAUUUCGUCUGUGUUACCAGUAAAAUAAUAAAGUUAAUAACAAUAAGGGGAGGUUCUCCAUUUGACUGUUACCAAUCGCUAACUUUAGUAAUGUUAUUUUAAAUAUAUUUUAAUAAGACAUAUUUAUCAAGGUCAUAUGGCCAAACAUUUUAAUUUUUUCAGAGUAUGACUGAAUCUAGGAAAUUGAGCUCUCUUUGAAUAUGUUUAGUAACUUCAAGUACUAAAUCCAUGUAAACCCGGCAUGAGAUACGCUGAGACGCGGCCGGAGCCG
rnacentral:lncRNA from 1 species